AGUGAACGCUGGCGGUAGGCCUAACACAUGCAAGUCGAACGGCAGCACAGUAAGAGCUUGCUCUUAAGGGUGGCGAGUGGCGGACGAGUGAGGAAUACAUCGGAAUCUACUUUUUCGUGGGGGAUAACGUAGGGAAACUUACGCUAAUACCGCAUACGACCUACGGGUGAAAGCAGGGGAUCUUCGGACCUUGCGCGAUUGAAUGAGCCGAUGUCGGAUUAGCUAGUUGGCGGGGUAAAGGCCCACCAAGGCGACGAUCCGUAGCUGGUCUGAGAGGAUGAUCAGCCACACUGGAACUGAGACACGGUCCAGACUCCUACGGGAGGCAGCAGUGGGGAAUAUUGGACAAUGGGCGCAAGCCUGAUCCAGCCAUACCGCGUGGGUGAAGAAGGCCUUCGGGUUGUAAAGCCCUUUUGUUGGGAAAGAAAAGCAGCAGGUUAAUACCCCGCUGUUCUGACGGUACCCAAAGAAUAAGCACCGGCUAACUUCGUG
rnacentral:rRNA from 1 species